rnacentral:rRNA from 1 species
UACAGAGGUCUCAAGCGUUGUUCGGAUUCAUUGGGCGUAAAGGGUGCGUAGGCGGCGCGGUAAGUCGGAUGUGAAAUCUCGGAGCUUAACUUCGAAACUGCAUUCGAUACUGCCGUGCUUGAGGACUGGAGAGGAGACUGGAAUUUACGGUGGUAGCGGUGAAAUGCGUAGAUAUCGUAAGGAAGACCAGUGGCGAAGGCGGGUCUCUGGACAGUUCCUGACGCUGAGGCACGAAGGUCAGGGGAGCAAACGGG